CCUACGGGGGGCUGCAGUGGGGAAUAUUGGACAAUGGGGGGAACCCUGAUCCAGCCAUGCCGCGUGUGUGAAGAAGGCCCUCGGGUUGUAAAGCACUUUCAGUGAGGAAGAACGCCUGGUGGUUAAUACCCAUCAGGAAAGACAUCACUCACAGAAGAAGCACCGGCUAACUCCGUGCCAGCAGCCGCGGUAAUACGGAGGGUGCGAGCGUUAAUCGGAAUUACUGGGCGUAAAGCGCGCGUAGGUGGCUUGAUAAGCCGGUUGUGAAAGCCCCGGGCUCAACCUGGGAACUGCAUCCGGAACUGUCAAGCUAGAGUGCAGGAGAGGAAGGUAGAAUUCCCGGUGUAGCGGUGAAAUGCGUAGAGAUCGGGAGGAAUACCAGUGGCGAAGGCGGCCUUCUGGACUGACACUGACACUGAGGUGCGAAAGCGUGGGUAGCAAACAGGAUUAGAUACCCCUGUAGUC
rnacentral:rRNA from 1 species